UACGAAGGGGGCUAGCGUUGUUCGGAAUUACUGGGCGUAAAGCGCACGUAGGCGGAUAUUUAAGUCAGGGGUGAAAUCCCGGGGCUCAACCCCGGAACUGCCUUUGAUACUGGCUAUCUUGAGUCCGGAAGAGGUGAGUGGAAUUGCGAGUGUAGAGGUGAAAUUCGUAGAUAUUCGCAGGAACACCAGUGGCGAAGGCGGCUCACUGGUCCGGUACUGACGCUGAGGUGCGAAAGCGUGGGGAGCAAACAGG
rnacentral:ncRNA from 2 species